rnacentral:tRNA from 2 species
GCGGUAGUGGCGCAAUGGUAGCGCAUCAGCUUCCCAAGCUGAGGGUUGCGAGUUCAAAUCUCGUCUGCCGCU